UAAUAAGUGUUUUAUGGCACUUUUUAAAUCCAUAUCCACCUUGUGUGCAAUGUUAGAUCUCGUCAAUCUUGGCGAGAUUUUUAUACAUCAACUCAUUCUUUAACUAAUUUGUCUGAAAAAUAUUAUGAAUAAACAAUUCAAAAUA
rnacentral:misc_RNA from 1 species